rnacentral:rRNA from 1 species
UACGUAGGUGGCAAGCGUUGUUCGGAUUUAUUGGGCGUAAAGCGAGCGCAGGCGGUUCCUUAAGUCUGAUGUGAAAGCCCACGGCUCAACCGUGGAAGGUCAUUGGAAACUGGGGAACUUGAGUGCAGAAGAGGAGAGUGGAAUUCCAUGUGUAGCGGUGAAAUGCGUAGAUAUAUGGAGGAACACCAGUGGCGAAGGUGACUCUCUGGUCUGUAACUGACGCUGAGGCUCGAAAGCGUGGGGAGCAAACAGGAUUA